AAUAGAUACCCAGGUAGUCCACGCCGUAAACGAUGAGUGCUAAGUGUUGGGGGGUUUCCGCCCCUCAGGUGCUGCAGCUAACGCAUUAAGCACUCCGCCUGGGGAGUACGGUCGCAAGACUGAAACUCAAAGGAAUUGACGGGGGCCCGCACAAGCGGUGGAGCAUGUGGUUUAAUUCGAAGCAACGCGAAGAACCUUACCAGGUCUUGACAUCCCGGUGACCACUAUGGAGACAUAGUUUCCCCGUUCGGGGGCAACGGUGACAGGUGGUGCAUGGUUGUCGUCAGCUCGUGUCGUGAGAUGUUGGGUUAACGUCCCGCAGCGAGCGCAACCCUUAUUCUUAGUUGCCAUCAUUCAGUUGGGCACUCUAAGGAGACUGCCGGUGAUAAACCGGAGGAGGGUGGGGAUGACGUCAAAUCAUCAUGCCCCUUAUGACCUGGGCUACACACGUGCUACAAUGGACGGUACAAACGGUUGCCAACCCGCGAGGGGGAGCUAAUCCGAUAAAACCGUUCUCAGUUCGGAUUGUAGGCUGCAACUCGCCUACU
rnacentral:rRNA from 1 species